CUGGGCCGGCCGAGGGCGCGGGAGGUGGCAGGUUUCGCGCGUUUCGGGACGGCGGGAGAAGCGCAAUCCCGGCGUCCAGGAGGACAGGACACAGUGUCCAGGAGGACAGGACACGGUGUCCAGGAGGACAGGAGGCGCAGAGGACCAUCCCUGGCAUCAGACCCCACCCGCUACUCCUCUGGGUGUCUACACCCGUGCGCCCGCGCGUGUCUGCGCGCACACAUUCCUGCCGCCGCUCGCAACUCCCACAUCCCGGGCCCGCUGUCUGCCAGGCGCCGGAUCCGCCUCCCGGCUGGACCGAGAGGGUCCUCGGCGGCGUCUUUAAGGCUUCGGUCCCCGCCCUACCCUCCUCCCCGCCCUCCCCCGCCUGAGCUCCUCGGUGUCGCCUCGGCUCCUCCCGACAUCCCCACGAGCCUGGCGGUGGCGCGGAGCAGGUGCCGGCGAGCCCCUCGCAUGCCGCUGCCCGGCCCGAGGUGGUAGCGGCGCCGGGCGCGCUCCGCCUGUCCCUCCUCCCGGCCGCACUAGGGCUCCGGCGCGCGCAGGGACAUGUCGGUGGCGACGGGCAGUAGCGAGGCGACCGGCGGGGCCGGCGGCGGCGGCGGCGCGCGGGUUUUUUUCCAGAGUCCCCGGGGCGGCGCCGGUGGCAGCCCAGGCUCGAGCAACGGCUCGGGCUCCUCCCGGGAGGACUCGGCGCCCGUGGCCACGGCGGCCGCUGCGGGGCAGGUUCAGCAGCAGCAGCAGCAGCAGCGGCGCCACCAGCAGGGAAAAGUGACAGUGAAAUACGAUCGUAAGGAGCUUCGGAAGCGGCUAGUGCUGGAGGAGUGGAUCGUGGAGCAGCUGGGACAGCUGUACGGCUGUGAGGAAGAAGAAAUGCCAGAUGUGGAAAUUGACAUUGAUGAUCUUCUUGAUGCAGACAGCGAAGAAGAGAGAGCUUUAAAGUUACAGGAAGCUCUCGUAGACUGCUACAAACCAACAGAGGAAUUUAUUAAGGAGCUGCUCUCUCGGAUAAGAGGCAUGAGGAAACUGAGCCCCCCGCAGAAGAAGACUGUGUAAUUCUGGCACAAGUGGAACUUCCCCGGAGACCGAGGAAGGGAUUUGGACUUCAUGAAGACGUUUAUUAAAGAAUAGUUGUCCUUAUGAGCAACUAUUUUGGGGGAGGGGGGUGGUAUCUAUUAGACAUUUAUUCAAGAGCAUUUUUUGUUUGUUUGUUUUAAAAGAUUUUGUUAGUGUAAUAUUUGAAUUGCAAAGAUAUCAUUACUCUGGUUUCAGCCCAACCGGAAAUUACCAAACCAGGCAGACACGCAAGGAUGGGCUGGUCCAGGCAGCAUCUUUUUGGAGAAAUCAGAUGUUUAGGACUUAACUAUACAGGGAUGACGGUUUUCUUACAACUAGCUUGGUAAUACUUUUUUCUUAAGUUGUACAUUUGACUCAGAUGUCGAAUUUCUCGUACUUGUAUAUAUCUACACGCAACUAAGUUAAAAUGUAGAUGUGAGUUUUAUUUCACACGAGUGGAAUAAACUUGUGGUCAUCCUUUCAUUGGAGGUCACAGCACGUGUGUUUUCAAGAGGCCACUAGGUAUUCUUCAUGCAAAUACUGUUGACCUUCAAUGUUCACUUUAUGCACCAAAGUGAAAGAAUUCAGUGUAUCCGUUAUUUUAAUGAGCUACACUACAAAAAUGUGGACUUGGUCAAGGGCUUAAUGUAUGGACUUUGUAUUAUUUCAUUAAUCAGGAUGCUUUGCCAGGUCAUGUACUUAUUGCCUUGUUUGUGGUAUUUUAAAGUUUUAUGAACCUUUUAUUUGAAGAACUAUUUGGAUUUCUAGAGAAACGCCCACGCUAUCUGAGUGCUGUUUUGCGGUGGAACAAGGAAGCACCAUGUAGCAAUUCAUUCUCUGCUUUCAACCAAAUAGUGUGUAUUAUUCUCUCUCCAUGAAAGCAGGUCAUAAGGAAGUUAGCGGAGGAUGUAUCUUCCUCCGUAGAAGUAGAUCUGGUCACUUCUGUGUCUGGGCAGCAUCAGAUCAGAACAGAUGAGCUGAGUGAUGGGUGGGUGUAAAUGGGAGAAAGCUUCACCUCCUCCCAAGAAAGCUGAUACAGGAGCAUUUGCUGUUCGGAAGCGGAAGCAUGGUGGCGAUUUCAUUGCCAGCUUCCCUCUAUGGCAUAUGGUCAGGACUCUGGCUUCUGGCCCUAAUUUUGCACCCCAUCCCCUUGUUUGGAGCUGAGCCUGGGGCACCUGCCCUGCCCUGCUCCUCUCAGUUGUCUACCAGCUCCUUGGAGAAGGAUCAAAGUUCAGAUGAAUGUGGGCGGGGUCAAAGGGCAGGGUAGAAACUCAUCCUUCCCUCCGGGAGGCCCCCACUGCCUCCCUGCAGAAACCCCACAUACUGCAGGGUGUCUCCAGGUGGCCCUGUCGGAGCACAGGGGUCAGGCAUUUUAUAUCAAGGGUGCUCUGAACAUAUUUUAUUUUUUCAAAGAACUAUGUUUGUGAAUUUUAUGUAUACUGGCAAGCUUUUGAAAAUGUAUUUAAUUUUGUAAUGUUUACCAAUGAUUUAUUUACAUGCUAUUUACUCGAAUAAAUGGAGCUGCUUACAA